rnacentral:rRNA from 1 species
AGCGAACGCUGGCGGCAGGCCUAACACAUGCAAGUCGAACGAACUCUUCGGAGUUAGUGGCGGACGGGUGAGUAACACGUGGGAACGUGCCUUUAGGUUCGGAAUAACUCAGGGAAACUUGUGCUAAUACCGAAUGUGCCCUUCGGGGGAAAGAUUUAUCGCCUUUAGAGCGGCCCGCGUCUGAUUAGCUAGUUGGUGAGGUAACGGCUCACCAAGGCGACGAUCAGUAGCUGGUCUGAGAGGAUGACCGGCCACACUGGGACUGAGACACGGCCCAGACUCCUACGGGAGGCAGCAGUGGGGAAUCUUGCGCGAUGGGCGAAAGCCUGACGCAGCCAUGCCGCGUGAAUGAUGAAGGUCUUAGGAUUGUAAAAUUCUUUCACCGGGGACGAUAAUGACGGUACCCGGAGAAGAAGCCCCGGCUAACUUCGUGCCAGCCGCCGCAGUAA